CACUCAUGUGCACCCUCCCCCAUAAUUAAAAAGAAAACAAGUAUUUUAGAAACUAGAAUCAUAAUCAGAUACUAGAUUUAUUUUCUCUGCCUGCUAGCCCCGCCUAUCCUUUCUUCUGCCUAGCUAUUGGCUAUUCAGCUCUUUAUUAGACCAAUCAGGUGCCUUAGGCAGGCAAAGUGAAACAAAUGCAACACAUCUUUACAUAAUGAAACAAAUGCAGCACAAACAAAUGUAACACAUCCUUACAUGGCUAAACAAAUGUGGCAUAAACAAGUGUAACACACUUUUACACAGUUAAAGUAAUAUUUUGCAGCGUAAACAAAUGUAACACAUCUUUGCCUAGUUAAAAUAAUAUUCCACAACAAUGGUAAUAAGUAGGAAGUUUUCUGAAUUAUGCAGAAACUGAUAUAUCCCAGCAGUAUGUAAAUUAGGUUUAGAAGACAAUAUCUUGGGGACGGAACAGCUUUAUUUUUUAUUUAUAAAGCCUUGUAUUUGAACACUUUUAGCCAUCAUUACAAGGUUUACAAACCUUGUUACUGUUACACUGGUCAUGUAACAGAAAAAAAUCCUGAAAGAGAAUAUGCUCACUUAUUAACAGUAGCUGUAUUUGCAUGGCAUAAAUAUGAGCAAGAAUUAUUUACAUUUCUCUGUGUUUAACAAAAUGAGCAAGUAUAAAUCUAUAAAGAGAGACUGUUUUAGAAGACAAGGUUUGGGUGAGACUGUCCCCCAUAUGAUCUGAUACUUGAAUACUUGGUCCCAAGUUGGUAGUUCUGUUUGGAGAGGUUGUGAAAUGUCGGGAGGUAGAGCCUUGCUGGAGGAAACAUAUCACUGGGGAUGGGAUUUGAAUGUUUAUGGUCUCCUUCUACUUCCUGUUAAUUCUCUGUCUCGUGCUUGUCUUUGACAAUCAAGUUUCUCAGCUUCUUGCUCAGCCACUACGACUGCUUGCUGCCGUGGCUCCCCACCAUGAUGGACUCUUACCCUCUGAAGGCUGAAGCCCAAAUAAACUCUUCCUUCUAUAAGUUACCUAGGUCAUGGUAUUUUAUAACAACAGAAAAGUAACAAAUACAAAGGUAUUUAUAAAACAUUGAAGGCAGUAUUGCUUUCAAAGUAAGGAAAAAGCUAUUGUUUGAAAAAAAUAGUUUCAUGAAUGACUAGUAAUAUUAUCUUUUUUUUUUUUUUUUUUUUUUUUUGGUUUUUCGAGACAGGGUUUCUCUGUGUAGCUUUGCGCCUGUCCUGGAACUCACUUGGUAGCCCAGGCUGGCCUCGAACUCACAGAGAUCCGCCUGGCUCUGCCUCCCGAGUGCUGGGAUUAAAGGCGUGCGCCACCACCGCCCGGUGGCUAGUAAUAUUAUUUUAUUGCAUAAGGUUAUUGCUAAGCUCCCACCUUUUUUUUUUUUUAAUCCAUAGUUUUACUGUGUGGUCUUGACUGGCCCCAUACUCAAUCCUCUUGUCUCCCAAGUGCUGUGACUACCAUUGUGUGCAAUUUUUAUAAAAAUGUAAUGCAAAAGAAUAAAUGUCACAUACAUGUCUGACUGACCUUUCUUUUCUGAAUUAAUCUUAAAUGUGUAAGUUCAAAUUGUCCCUCAACAUAUUUGCUGCAAAUGAGAGACUAAAAUACCAGGCUUAAGAUUAUCCAGUUUGGGGGCUAUGUGACUGAGAUGUCCUUGACUUGAGGGAUCCAGGGACAUCAGACUGGGAUGAUAGUGAUGAUGCUGGUUUGGCAGCAGAUGCCAUGAAGACUUGUGUAUGCUCAACUUUCUGGCGUUACCUACAUCUGUCAUUGUAAUUAUACUGCAUCCUGUGUUUAGCAUAACCAAAUUAGCAAUUUGCUCUGAUGGAAGCCUCAGUCCAAAGAUUGAUGCCUGAUAUUCAAAUGAGUCACAUGCCCCCUAAAAUAGGGUAGACCAGAUAUACAUUCAAGUCUCAGAGCUCUGCAGCUGGGCCUGGUGCCAGCUUGCUCUGUAGCUGAUUUCAAGUGGGAGGAGAGGCAAUUUCUGUAGACUGUGUGCAUGUAAACAUCAGCCUACUGACGAAGGUUGCCGCCCAGGUCUUAGUGGCUAGGGACAAAAGGGAGAACAUUUGCUUCUUCCCAACUGGAAAUUUUAUGCAUGCUAUCCUUCUGUUGUUCUAGCCCAAAGCCUGAUAAUUAACCUGAGGGAAUGAUCAAAAUUCGCUUUUGUGCUCCCAGCAUGUGCCAGGUAGUUGGAGGCAGGAGGAAGGAUUCAGGGCAACUUCAAUCAAAGCUCAGUUUUAUGCCUUGCGUGGCUUUUUAGAUUUGUAUUUUCCCUAUAAUUGCUAAUCAGCAAAACAUUUGGAGAGACUCUUGCUAGGUUAAUUAUACAACCUGUUGGCUUUGUAUGCUGGUGACUAUUAAUUCACUCCUGCCCUUAAAAAGUGGUCUGAAGACAAAAGUCAGUUUGGAGUAGAUGCUACUGUUGUUGCUCCAAGAUGUCGCCACCAAUGACAAUGACGUUGAGAAUUUUGGAGAUACAUUAGCUGUGCUGAUCGGGCUGUAUCGUCUUGUGUUAACACAUAGGAAGACUUGCCUGUUUUCGAGGCUUUCUUCUUAAGAAAAAGGAGGACAAACAAGGACUCUUUGGCUGGGCACUGCAUCUCAACCUGAUCUGCUUUUCCUCUUUGGAAUGGCAUCAACUCAUUAGAUGAGCGAGGAUGCCAUGCCACUUGCACUCCACCCAGCUCACCUCUGUAUUCUUAAACUCCACCAGAGGACUUUUUGCACUUGAAAUUAUGUUAUGUCAAUGUGUUAGCUCACUGCUAAUUAAAUGAUUUUGCUUAUGACUCAAUAGAUGGGCAAGGUGCUAAUAAAAUCACUCUUUUCCGGC